rnacentral:rRNA from 1 species
UACGUAGGGUGCGAGCGUUGUCCGGAAUUAUUGGGCGUAAAGAGCUUGUAGGUGGCUCGUUGCGUCGGGAGUGAAAACCUGCGGCUUAACCGCAGGCCUGCUUCCGAUACGGGCGAGCUAGAGUUCGGCAGGGGAGACUGGAAUUCCUGGUGUAGCGGUGGAAUGCGCAGAUAUCAGGAGGAACACCGGUGGCGAAGGCGGGUCUCUGGGCCGAUACUGACGCUGAGGAGCGAAAGCGUGGGGAGCGAACAGG